AGUCCUGUAGCUCAGUGGUUAGAGCAUUCGCCUAGCAAGCGAGAGACCUGGGUUCAAUUCCCAGCAGGGUGA